rnacentral:rRNA from 1 species
GACGAACGCUGGCGGCGUGCUUAACACAUGCAAGUCGAACGGAAAGGCCCUGCUUUUGUGGGGUGCUCGAGUGGCGAACGGGUGAGUAACACGUGAGUAACCUGCCCUUGACUUUGGGAUAACUUCAGGAAACUGGGGCUAAUACCGGAUAGGAGCUCCUGCUGCAUGGUGGGGGUUGGAAAGUUUCGGCGGUUGGGGAUGGACUCGCGGCUUAUCAGCUUGUUGGUGGGGUAGUGGCUUACCAAGGCUUUGACGGGUAGCCGGCCUGAGAGGGUGACCGGCCACAUGGGGAUGGAGAGCGGGCCAAGACUCUAACGGGAGGCAGCAGGGGGGAAAAUUGCACAAGGGGGGGAAGCUGGAGGAAGCAAGCCGGGGUGGGGAAGAAGGGCUUUCGGGUGGUAAACCGCUUUGGCCGGUAACGAAGGGGGGGGAAGGGAAAUGGGAAAAGAAGAACCGCAUAACUACGG